rnacentral:lncRNA from 1 species
GCGCCGCCGUUCCCGGUGUCGGUGUGGGCGGUGUCCCCGGCCUGGUGCCCGGAGUCGGAGGUGUCCCUGGCUUGGUUCCUGGCGUUGGAGGUGUCCCCGGGGCGGUGCCUGGUGUCGGAGGUGUCCCUGGGGUGGCAGGAGUGCCAUCGGCAGCAGCAGCAGCAAAGGCAGCUAAGUAUGGCGCCGCCGUUCCCGGUGUCGGUGUGGGCGGUGUCCCCGGCCUGGUGCCCGGAGUCGGAGGUGUCCCUGGCUUGGUUCCUGGCGUUGGAGGUGUCCCCGGGGCGGUGCCUGGUGUCGGAGGUGUCCCUGGGGUGGCAGGUGACUGUUCCAGGAGCCCUGUCCCCAUGGCCCGGCUCUGUGCGGCCAUGGUGGCUGAGGGUCCCUGUCUCGCUUGUCCCCAGGAGUGCCAUCGGCAGCAGCAGCAGCAAAGGCAGCUAAGUAUGGUACGUGCUGUGUGGGACCCAUGGUCACCGCCCUGCAAAACCUGGUGGGAUCGUGAAACACAUCCCACAGUUUCUAUCAGGACACAGAACUGAUCCUUGUCCUGCCCCGCUCGGGGCUCUCCUGAAGUGGUUGUGGAUGCUCCGCUCUCCAGGCCACGAUGAAAAGACAGAGCCGGAAGAGGCCCAAGCUUUCACUGUUGCUGCAGUGAGAUCUGACUUCUCCCAUCUCCUCCCUGCAGGAGCUGGUGUUCCUGGCAUUGCUGGCGUUCCUGGUGUUCCUGGAGUUCCUGGCGUUCCUGGUGUUCCUGGUGUUCCUGGUGUUCCUGGAGUUCCUGGCGUGCCUGGGGUUCCUGGUGCUGUGCCCGGUGUUGGAGGUGAGCAGAUGGGCUGUGAGCAGCUGCUGCUGGGGGCAUGCUGGCCUGGGCAGUGCCCUGACUGUGUCCCUCGUGUCCCCACAGUGGGUGGCCCGGCAGCGGCGGCUGCAGCCAAGGCUGCGGCAAAAGCAGCGGCGAUCGGUGAGUCACCACUGUCAGCACCGUCACCACCGGCUGUCCCAGGGAGGGAGGAGGUGUGUUGGCACACAGGGGAGUCGGGGACACCCCGGUGCUGUGGAGGUCAGUGGGAUUCCUGCUGUGCAGUCUGUCCCCUCGGACACAUCCCUGAACCUCUCUGCAGGAGCAGGACGCGUGCCCGGCGUUGGCGUGCCCGGCGUUGGCGUGCCCGGCGUGCGUGUGCCUGGAGUGGGUGUGCCUGGAGUGGGUGUGCCUGGUGCCGGCGUGCCCGGUUUGGUGCCCGGGAUCGGUGUUCCAGGAGGUCCGGCAGCCGCUGCCAAAGCAGCCGCCAAAGCAGCCAAGUACGGUAA